rnacentral:misc_RNA from 1 species
GGAAGGAUCAUUAUUGAUUUGGGUUUUGCACACACCAGUGCUUCUCCCUUGCUGUACCUGCAACUGGAACCGAGCGCUUCUGCCUGCGGUUGAGGGCCCUUAUGCGCAUCCCGACGACGAUUCCUGAUGGCCCUUGUGUUGACCUCCUCUAAUUGCUGGAGAGUGCUCACGGGGGCUGAAGUCGGAAACGUUUCUCGGGCGGCGAUAAGAGCCUGGAGGCAUGCUAUAUGCCUACCGUAACGCAGGGGCGGAAUCGGGUGGUUGUGGUGUAUACUGCAAAAAAAUACUCUUUGUGAACUUGUACCACCCAAUUUUUAUAUAUAAUGAAAGCCUUAUGUUAUUUUUGUGUCCCCUCACAGGGCCAAUUAUUUAUUAAUUAUACAUAACUUUUAACAACGGAUCUCUUGGCUCUCGCAUCGAUGAAGAACGCAGCGAAAUGCGAUAAGUAGUGUGAAUUGCAGAAUUCAGUGAAUCAUCGAAUCUUUGAACGCACAUUGCGCUCUCUCGGAUUUAUCCAGGGAGCAUGCCUGUUUGACAACAUGCACAAUUGGUACAUAGCAGUAGCCUUUGAUGGUGUUGAUAGCUAAACCAACUACUGGGAGUUUUCUUUGAGUGUUCAUUCAAAGUCUCUUGAAAUCAGUCAUGUGAGUCUACUUAUGAUCAAGCUCUGAUGUAAUAGAAUAUGUUCCAUCGGAGUGGCAUGAGCGGACCCUUUUUGCAGAAAGAUAAUCUUGCAAGUUGUUGUCAAAUCAGGUAGGAUUACCCGCUGAACUUAAGCAUAUUAAUAAGCGGAGGAAAAGAAACUAACAAGGAUUCCCCUAGUAACGGCGAGUGAAGCGGGAAGAGCUCAAUUUUGAAAUCUGGAGGAAGUCAGUUCACGCUGACCAAUCCCGAGUUGUAGUCUGCAGACGCAUUUUCAGGUGGAUCUUUGGUAUAAAUCCUUUGGAACAGGGUAUCAUAGAGGGUGAGAAUCCCGUCUUAUGACCAUUGAUGAAACUGUUGUGAUAUGUGUUCUUAGAGUCGCAUUGUUUGGGAAUGCAGUGCAAAGCGGGUGGUAAAUUUCAUCCAAAGCUAAAUAAUGGCGAGAGACCGAUAGCGAACAAGUACCGUGAGGGAAAGAUGAAAAGAACUUUGAAAAGAGAGUUAAAUAGUACGUGAAAUUGUUAAAAGGGAAACGCAUGAAAUCAGAUAUUUCUCUUCACCAUCUUCUCAUCCGCUUCGGCGGUCGGGUUGUGAUGUGUGAUGGAGAUGUCAACAUCAAUUUGAUCUUGGGUAUGUAGCAUUACCUUGAUGUUUCCUUGCCCUCGGGCUUGGGAAGCAAGGUUUCACGCUUACCCAGGAUUAGAUUGAGGUAAAUCUGCAGCGGCUCGCGCAAUGUCACUUUCACCUUGGCUCAUCCUUGAUGACAAUUCGUUGACAUCAGAGGUGUUGCUGGUUUGACGUGGCAUUCUUGAUACGGGCUUUAGCUUAGGAUGUUGACUUAAUGGUUUUAUACGACCCGUCUUGAAACACGGACCAAGGAGUCUAACAUAUAUGCGAGUAUUUGGGUGGUAAACCCAUAUGCGUAAUGAAAGUGAAUGUAGGUGGGAAUUCCCCUUGAGGGUUUGCACCAUCGACCGAUCUGGAUAUUUUUUGAAAGAUUUGAGUAAGAGCAUAUCUGUUGGGACCCGAAAGAUGGUGAACUAUACUUGAAUAGGGUGAAGCCAGAGGAAACUCUGGUGGAGGCUCGUAGCGAUUCUGACGUGCAAAUCGAUCGUCAAAUUUGAGUAUAGGGGCGAAAGACUAAUCGAACCAUCUAGUAGCUGGUUCCUGC